rnacentral:rRNA from 1 species
UACGAACUGUGCGAACGUUAUUCGGAAUCACUGGGCUUACAGGGUGCGUAGGCGGCUUUUCAAGUCAGGUGUGAAAGCCCCCGGCUCAACCGGGGAAUUGCGCUUGAAACUGGAGAGCUCGAGUCAGCUAGAGGUGCACGGAACUUCCAGUGGAGCGGUGAAAUGUGUUGAUAUUGGAAGGAACACCGGAGGCGAAAGCGGUGCACUGGGGCUGGUCUGACGCUGAGGCACGGAAAAGCCAGGGUAGCGAACGGG